rnacentral:rRNA from 1 species
AGAGUUUGAUCAUGGCUCAGGACGAACGCUGGCGGCGGGCCUAACACAUGCAAGUCGAACGCACUCGACCUUCGGGUCAUAUGAGUGAGUGGCGAACGGGUGAGUAACACGUGAGAAACCUGCCCCGAAGACUGGAAUAACCCGAGGAAACUCGGGCUAAUACCGGAUGCCCCCACCGGAUCGCAUGGUCUGGUGAGGAAAUGCUCCGGCGCUUCGGGAGGGUCUCGCGGCCUAUCAGCUAGUUGGUGAGGUAAUGGCUCACCAAGCCA